rnacentral:rRNA from 1 species
AGAUUGAACGCUGGCGGCAUGCCUUACACAUGCAAGUCGAACGGCAGCACGGGAGCAAUCCUGGUGGCGAGUGGCGAACGGGUGAGUAUACAUCGGAACGUGCCCAAUCGUGGGGGAUAACGCAGCGAAAGCUGUGACUAAUACCGCAUAAGAUCUACGGAUGAAAGCAGGGGAUCGCAAGACCUUGCGCGAAUGGAGCGGCCGAUGGCAGAUUAGGUAGUGGUGAGGUAAGGCUACACCAGCCUUCGAUCUAGUAGCUGGUCUGGAGAGGACACCGAGACCACACGUGGGACUGGAGAACCACGGACCCAGACCUCCGGACGGGAGGCAGGACAGGGUGGGUAACUUUUGGACAAGUCGGACGAAGCCUGACUCGACGCAGUCGCCGCGUGCGAGG